GCGUAACGACGGGCCGGCAGCCGGGGGAGUUGGUGGGGGGGAAGGGUUGUCCGGAUUGAUGGGGCGGGAGGCGCGGGCAGGGGUGGCUGGAAGUCGGCGGUGAAACCGCCCGGGUGAGCGGGGAGGGGGCGGUGGCGACUGCCGGACUGGAGGGACCGAGAGGCCGGUGGAAUUCCCGGUGUAGUGGUGAAAUGCGUAGAGAUCGGGAGGAACACCAGUGGCGAAGGCGGCCGGCUGGGGGUGCCCUGACGCUGAGGCGCGAAAGCGUGGGGAGCGAACCGGAUUAGAUACCCUGUAGUC
rnacentral:rRNA from 1 species